GACGAACGCUGGCGGCGUGCUUAACACAUGCAAGUCGAGCGGUAAGGCCCUUUCGGGGGUACACGAGCGGCGAACGGGUGAGUAACACGUGGGUGACCUGCCCUCAGCUCUGGGAUAAGCCUGGGAAACCGGGUCUAAUACCGGAUAUGACUCCAUGACGCAUGUUGUGGGGUGGAAAGCCUUGUGCGGCUGAGGAUGGGCCCGCGGCCUAUCAGCUUGUUGGUGGGGUGAUGGCCUACCAAGGCGACGACGGGUAGCCGGCCUGAGAGGGCGACCGGCCACACUGGGACUGAGACACGGCCCAGACUCCUACGGGAGGCAGCAGUGGGGAAUCUUGCGCAAUGGGCGGAAGCCUGACGCAGCGACGCCGCGUGAGGGAUGAC
rnacentral:rRNA from 1 species